GACGAACGCUGGCGGCGUGCUUAACACAUGCAAGUCGAACGGUAAGGCUCCAGCUUGCUGGGGUACACGAGUGGCGAACGGGUGAGUAACACGUGGGUGACCUGCCCUGCACUUCGGGAUAAGCCUGGGAAACUGGGUCUAAUACCGGAUAGGACUGCACCGUGAGGGUGUGGUGGAAAGUUUUUUCGGUGUGGGAUGGGCCCGCGGCCUAUCAGCUUGUUGGUGGGGUAAUGGCCUACCAAGGCGGCGACGGGUAGCCGGCCUGAGAGGGUGGACGGCCACAUUGGGACUGAGACACGGCCCAGACUCCUACGGGAGGCAGCAGUGGGGAAUAUUGCACAAUGGGCGGAAGCCUGAUGCAGCGACGCCGCGUGGGGGAUGACGGCCUUCGGGUUGUAAACUCCUUUCACCAUCGACGAAGGGUUUCUGACGGUAGAUGGAGAAGAAGCACCGGCUAACUACGUGCCAGCAGCCGCGGUAAUACGUAGGGUGCGAGCGUUGUCCGGAAUUACUGGGCGUAAAGAGCUCGUAGGUGGUUUGUCGCGUCGUCUGUGAAAUUCCGGGGCUUAACUCCGGGCGUGCAGGCGAUACGGGCAUAACUUGAGUACUGUAGGGGAGACUGGAAUUCCUGGUGUAGCGGUGAAAUGCGCAGAUAUCAGGAGGAACACCGGUGGCGAAGGCGGGUCUCUGGGCAGUAACUGACGCUGAGGAGCGAAAGCAUGGGGAGCGAACAGGAUUAGAUACCCUGGUAGUCCAUGCCGUAAACGGUGGGCGCUAGGUGUGGGUUUCCUUCCACGGGAUCCGUGCCGUAGCUAACGCAUUAAGCGCCCCGCCUGGGGAGUACGGCCGCAAGGCUAAAACUCAAAGGAAUUGACGGGGGCCCGCACAAGCGGCGGAGCAUGUGGAUUAAUUCGAUGCAACGCGAAGAACCUUACCUGGGCUUGACAUAUACAGGAUCGCGCCAGAGAUGGUGUUUCCCUUGUGGCUUGUAUACAGGUGGUGCAUGGUUGUCGUCAGCUCGUGUCGUGAGAUGUUGGGUUAAGUCCCGCAACGAGCGCAACCCUUGUCUUAUGUUGCCAGCACGUUGUGGUGGGGACUCGUAAGAAACUGCCGGGGUUAACUCGGAGGAAGGUGGGGAUGACGUCAAAUCAUCAUGCCCCUUAUGUCCAGGGCUUCACACAUGCUACAAUGGUCGGUACAGUGGGUUGCCAGUCCGUGAGGGCGAGCUAAUCCCGCAAAGCCGGUCUCAGUUCGGAUCGGGGUCUGCAACUCGACCCCGUGAAGUUGGAGUCGCUAGUAAUCGCAGAUCAGCAACGCUGCGGUGAAUACGUUCCCGGGCCU
rnacentral:rRNA from 1 species